rnacentral:rRNA from 1 species
CGAAGAACCUUACCAGGCCUUGACAUGCAGAGACUUCAGAGAUGGAUUGGUGCCUUCCGGGAACUCUGACACAGGUGCUGCAUGGCUGUCGUCAGCUCGUGUCGUGAGAUGGUUGGGUUAAGUCCCGUAACGAGCGCAACCCUUGUCCUUAGUUACCAGCACGUUAUGGUGGGCACUCUAAGGAGACUGCCGGUGACAAACCGGAGGAAGGUGGGGAUGACGUCAAGUCAUCAUGGCCCUUACGGCCUGGGCUACACACGUGCUACAAUGGUCGGUACAAAGGGUUGCCAAGCCGCGAGGUGGAGCUAAUCCCAUAAAACCGAUCGUAGUCCGGAUCGCAGUCUGCAACUCGACUGCGUGAAGUCGGAAUCGCUAGUAAUCGUGAAUCAGAAUGUCACGGUGAAUACGUUCCCGGGCCUU